ACGGAGGGUGCAAGCGUUAUCCGGAUUUACUGGGUUUAAAGGGUGCGCUGGCGGAUAUGUAAGUCAGUGGUGAAAUCUCCGGGCUUAACCCGGAAACUGCCGUUGAUACUAUAUAUCUUGAAUGCUGUGGAGGUAAGCAGAAUAUGUCAUGUAGCGGUGAAAUGCUUAGAGAUGACAUAGAAUACCUAUUGCGAAGGCAGCUUACUACGCAGAUAUUGACGCUCAUGCACGAAAGCGUGGGGAUCAAACAGGA
rnacentral:rRNA from 1 species